AACGAACGCUGGCGGCAGGCUUAACACAUGCAAGUCGAACGCCCCGCAAGGGGAGUGGCAGACGGGUGAGUAACGCGUGGGAAUCUACCCAGAUCUACGGAACAACAGUUGGAAACGACUGCUAAUACCGUAUACGCCCUACGGGGGAAAGAUUUAUCGGAUUUGGAUGAGCCCGCGUUGGAUUAGCUCGUUGGUGGGGUAAUGGCCUACCAAGGCGACGAUCCAUAGCUGGUCUGAGAGGAUGAUCAGCCACACUGGGACUGAGACACGGCCCAGACUCCUACGGGAGGCAGCAGUGGGGAAUAUUGGACAAUGGGCGAAAGCCUGAUCCAGCAAUGCCGCGUGAGUGAUGAAGGCCUUAGGGUUGUAAAGCUCUUUUACCCGGGAAGAUAAUGACUGUACCGGGAGAAUAAGCUCCGGCUAACUCCGUGCCAGCAGCCGCGGUAAAAC
rnacentral:rRNA from 1 species